GACGAACGCUGGCGGCGUGCUUAACACAUGCAAGUCGAACGGUAAGGCCCUUCGGGGUACACGAGUGGCGAACGGGGGAGUAACACGUGGGUGAUCUGCCCUGCACUUCGGGAUAAGCCUGGGAAACUGGGGCUAAUACCGGAUAGGACUCCUGGCUUCAUGGUUGGGGGUGGAAAGCUUUUGCGGUGUGGGAUGGGCCCGCGGCCUAUCAGCUGGUUGGGGGGGUAAUGGCAUACCAAGGCGACGACGGGUAGCCGGCCUGAGAGGGUGACCGGUCACACUGGGACUGAGAUACGGCCCAGACUCCUACGGGAGGCAGCAGUGGGGAAUAUUGCACAAUGGGCGCAAGCCUGAUGCAGCGACGCCGCGUGAGGGAUGACGGCCUUCGGGUUGUAAACCUCUUUCAGCUAUGACGAAGCGCAAGUGACGGUAGUAGCAGAAGAAGGACCGGCCAACUACGUGCCAGCCGCCGCAGUAA
rnacentral:rRNA from 1 species